ensembl:lncRNA
AUAAGGUUUUGUUUAUGAAGCAUUUCUCAAACUUAAGGUGUGCAGGUCUCUUGACCACAUUUUCAGACUCUUCAAGAAUUUUUUUUUUCUCUUUUAAAAAGGUCAGUACAGGAGGAACGUAUUAAAUACACUGUCACAACCCUGGACUCUCCAACUGAGUAACUAAAGCAAUGAAGACACAAACCAGUAGCCCCCAGAGUUCUGAUACUGGCCGUCGGAUUGAGCCCUGUGGUUCAGGGCCAUAGCUGAAGGAUGAACUUUGGGCUGAAGCGCAGCACCUGUGAAGCAGGUACAGAGAGCAGUGAAGAGCUGGAUGCAGCCGGUGCUCAAAAUUCCUGCUAAAUGAAGGAGUGCUGCAGAGAGCAAAAUCUGCUGUUUGGAACUCUCCCCCAGGGUGCAGUGGAAAGGCAGAGGGUGUUGUGGACUCUCCCAAAGUGGUUAUGCAACGUGAAGGACAGGCCUGCUUCUUGCAGAAGCUUCUCCGUGACUGCCCGGCACACUGGUUGCCCAAGAUUCAGAUCAAAGCUGCUCUCCACCCCUGCUGUGAGGACUUGGAAGCACUCCUGCAGGAAGAGGCACUGGGCCUGCCCCAUCUCUCCCAUCCCCUGCUGGAGCUCUCUUCAUCACAGCUCACUCGGGCAUCUGCUUUUGACCUCGGCGCCUUCCCUGUGCGGCGGGGCCUGGUGUCUGGAGGACCGCCAGUUCUUCCCGUCUGCCAAGCUGCCUCUCUUCUAUCACACGAGUGACCUGGGAAACCCCACCUCCCCCCCAGCAGGAGCUCAGUCUCCCUGGACUGAUCGCAGGAAAGGUGCUGCUCUGAGGGCACAGCUCCCGACACAGGCACCAUGCUCGGCUCGCACUCGAAGGCCCUUCUGAUACAGCCUUUCUGCUCAAGACUUUCCUUCUGUUUGUGUGCGUCCAGGUGUCCAUCUCAACAUUUUUAAAAAAUCUUAAAUAGUAAGGCUACUUUUGUUCUCUGUCCUGCACACUGCCUGUACAUAAACAUGCCUGCUGGAGACACCCGGUCUUUACAAAGCAGUUACGCUUGAGCACUUUCUCUCUCUCCUCCACCCUAUCUCAGGCUCCAGCACGUUUCCCCUCUGCCUGAAAGUACAUCUCCUGCCUUGUCUCCUGGAGAAUGGCUGUCCUAAGUCAGGCUCGCGUCAGAUGCCUUGCUGACCUCCUGGGCUGAGACAAUGCCCCCUUCCUUGGUGGCUCUGCUGUGCCUCUGGUAGCGUCUUGUCUCUACUCGCCACUCUGCACUCUGUGUGAAUAUCUUCCCUGGCUGAACUAGUUGCUCCUCGAGGGCAGGAGUGAUGAUGCAUUUAACUCUGCAUCACUGGUGCCCAGCACAGGGUCUGGCUGCAGAUGAAUGAAGCCAGUGAGGAGGGCUCUGGGCCCCGGCCACACUGGGCAGUGCCUUUCAUGGCAUUUUCCGUUUGGCCUCACCUCUUCCUUUGUCCUGUUUUUAGCCUAAUUCCUUUCAAGGCUCUGGCAUGGGACUCUGAGCUCAUUUUCAUGAUUGCUUUAAAUAUUUGGGGCUGUUGGCAUGCCAACACAGGGACCCACGCUAAGGAGGGAGAGGAAUUCUCUAGCUCUCUGGGUUCUGCCCAAACACAAGGAAUGUGCCAGAGGCAGGGGAGGUUCUGAGAAAAUGCCAGAUUGGGUCGAACUAAACCGCUUUCCUACCUGGCUUAGGGAGCCAGGAAUUUUGGCAGGAGACAAGAAAGUGAAAGGACACGGUGGCCUGGGGUGGGGGUGGCGGGUGAGGAUAGCGUCUCCUCCAAGAAACCCAAGCGGAGCCCUGGAUGAAGGUGAAAGGGCAGCAGCAGCACUGAUCUGGAGAAGCAGUGUCUGUGUCCGAAAAUGGUGAGGAGUGCCAGGAACCAAUGUCUGGACACCAUCCUGGGAGCCAAUUCGGAAAGUCAGAUGGACAGAAGGAGACUUUAAAAGUCUUGUCAUGGAAAAACUCGGAAGUCACAGACAUAAGCUCUCAGACAGAGCCUGAGAGUUGCUCCAAUCAACUCCCAACACUUUAGGGAUCAAGAAACAGAAGCUGAGAGAGAAAUGGGGUGACCUAGGCCACACUGUUCAUGGUUGUAGCACCAGGACUGGAACCUACAUCUCCUUCUCCUCUUCCCAAGGCUCCCACCUUCUCAAGGACCAGAGAGAAGCUAGGAUUCAUU